rnacentral:rRNA from 1 species
GUUUGAAAAGAGAGUUAAACAGUACGUGAAAUUGCUGAAAGGGAAACGCUUGAAGUCAGUCGCGUCGUCCGGAACUCAGCCUUGCUUUUGCUUGGUGCACUUUCCGGUUGACGGGUCAGCAUCGAUUUUGACCGUCGGAAAAGGGCUGGAGUAAUGUGGCACCCUCGGGUGUGUUAUAGACUCUGGUCGCAUACGGCGGUUGGGAUCGAGGAACGCAGCGCGCCGUAAGGCAGGGGUUCGCCCACUUUCGCGCUUAGGAUGCUGGCAUAAUGGCUUUAAACGACCCGUCUUGAAACACGGACCAAGGAGUCUAACAUACCUGCGAGUGUUUGGGUGGAAAACCCGAGCGCGUAAUGAAAGUGAAAGUUGAGACCCCUGUCGUGGGGGGCAUCGACGCCCGGACCUGACGUUCUCUGAAGGAUCCGCGGUAGAGCAUGUAUGUUGGGACCCGAAAGAUGGUGAACUAUGCCUGAAUAGGGUGAAGCCAGAGGAAACUCUGGUGGAGGCUCGUAGCGAUAUCUGACGUGCAAAUCGAUCGUCAAAUUUGGGUAUAGGGGCGAAAGACUAAUCGAACCAUCUGAGCCCGCC